rnacentral:rRNA from 1 species
UGGGGGAUAUUGCACAAUGGGCGAAAGCCUGAUGCAGCGACGCCGCGUGGGGGAUGAAGGCUUUCAGGUUGUAAACCUCUUUCGCUAUCGAACAAGGCCCGCUUAGGGUGGGUUGAGGGUAGGUGGAGAAGAAGCGCCGGCUAACUACGUGCCAGCAGCCGCGGUAAUACGUAGGGCGCGAGCGUUGUCCGGAAUUAUUGGGCGUAAAGGGCUUGUAGGCGGCUUGUUGCGCCUGCUGUGAAAACGCGGGGCUUAACUUCGCGCGUGCAGUGGGUACGGGCAGGCUUGAGUGUGGUAGGGGUGACUGGAAUUCCAGGUGUAGCGGUGGAAUGCGCAGAUAUCUGGAGGAACACCGAUGGCGAAGGCAGGUCACUGGGCCAUUACUGACGCUGAGGAGCGAAAGCAUGGGUAGCGAACAGG